UACUGCCUGGUCAGUGUACCAAGAUGGAGGUGUUGACAAGGUAUGUAAUGGUCAGACCAUCAGUCUGUAUGGUACUGCCUGGUCAGUGUACGAGGAGGGAGAUGUGACAAGGUAUUUGUCAGACCAUUAGUCAACAUGAUUACAACCUUGAAAGUGUUAAAGGAUGGAGGUUGGUAGUCGGACCAUCAGACAUAGGACCAGGACCUGGAUGGACUUGAAGCACUUGAUGAGUAACAUGUACUGGAAUGUUUUUCACCAGGUAUUCCAAGUUGUAGGUGUAACCAAUCGUCACCAGGUGGUAGAUACUGUCCUCCCACUACCAAUCAAGACAAAACUCCUGAGGAUCACUACCGUCACGUGCAAAGGAUACUGUGCACUGAGAAUGGAAGUGUAUGGUUAUGACGCGGACUAAUUGUGUUCCGUUCAUUCAUCUACAAGACACUGUUGAAGGACAAGAAUUACAGAUGAAGCGCACAAAAUAAAGAGAUGCACAGUUCAUGGGAUAGGGAUUAUGUUUUAGAGACAAUUCACAGUACACACUAGGAAUAGGGGCUGAGAAAGAGGGUGCACAGUUCGCUAGAAACAGAUCAUGUUGUAGAAAAUAAUUAAAAGUUCUUUUAAUAGUGCUCAUGUUAUAAAAGAGAAUUCACAUUUCGCUCAAAACAGAUCAUGUUGUAUAAAGAGAAUUAAAAGUUCGCUGAAAAGGGAAUUUACAUUUCAAUAGAAACAGAUCUUGUUGUAUAAAGAGAAUUAAAAGUUCGCUUAAAAGUGCUCAUGUUAUAAAAAAGAAUUCAAUUAUUGCAAAAGCUCUAAACUCAACACUAAAAUGAAUUGUGAAACGUUUAACUUCUUCAUUUUCGUCCUUAUCGGACCUUGGUAAUAAUUCCGCAUCUAAAUAAGGUGUUAUCGCGCGGGUCGAUCACACUAGCACGGGUAUUCAAAAGUAUCCGGAUUCGUUUCGCCGAAAGCGGAUCACUUGAUUUGCGUCCACACUAUCGUUUUCGCAGGGUUUUCGCUUGGAUGCAGUCGUCCACACUAACACGGUACGGCGUGACGUACUUUUUUUUAUGCGCAUGCUCAUAGAAGCAGACGAGCCUGCGAGAUGACGUCAUCGUUUACAGUUUGACACGAAUUCGACCGUCUACACAACGGACCAAAGUAUAUGGAUAUAUUUUGAUUCACUUUCGACAGCGUUUUUUUAAAGUAUCCGGAUUCGCUAGAUCCUACCCCAGUGUUAGUGUGCACGGAAGGCCUAAACGUAUCAAAAAUACGGAUUCAAACGAAUCCGUGUUAGUGUGGACGGCCCCUCAAAAGCCUAAAAUAAACACCGACUCCAGACAUGCGCAGUAGAAUAACGCUGCCCCUUAAAGGCUUGUUAACCUUGAAAAGUGAAGGUUUUUACUCGCGGGUUUUUACCGAACAUGAAACAAACAAAUUUCUUUGUAAGUCAAAAGAAAGUGGUUCCAAGUUAAUUGGACACCUACGGCAUAACGCAAAAA